rnacentral:sRNA from 1 species
GCUGGGCAUGGUGGUGCAUGCCUGUAAUCCCAGCGGCUGAAGAGGCUGAGGCAGGAGGAUUGCAAGUUUGAGAGACCAGCCUCAGCAACUUAGUGAGGCCCUAAGCAAUUUAGUAAGACUUUGUCUCAA